GGACUACUCGGGUUUCUAAUCCUGUUUGCUCCCCACGCUUUCGAGCCUCAACGUCAGUCAUCGUCCAGAAAGCCGCCUUCGCCACUGGUGUUCCUCCUAAUAUCUACGCAUUUCACCGCUACACUAGGAAUUCCGCUUUCCUCUCCGACACUCUAGCCUGACAGUUCCAAAUGCAGUCCCGGGGUUGAGCCCCGGGCUUUCACAUCUGGCUUGCCAUGCCGUCUACGCUCCCUUUACACCCAGUAAAUCCGGAUAACGCUUGCCCCCUA
rnacentral:misc_RNA from 1 species